rnacentral:rRNA from 1 species
AAACCAGCACCUCAAGUGGUCAGGAUGAUUAUUGGGCCUAAAGCAUCCGUAGCCUGCUUUGUAAGUUUUCGGUUAAAUCCAUACGCUCAACGUAUGGGCUGCCGGAAAUACUGCAAAGCUAGGGAGUGGGAGAGGUAGACGGUACUCGGGAGGAAGGGGUAAAAUCCUUUGAUCUCUCGAUGACCACCUGUGGCGAAGGCGGUCUACCAGAACACGUCCGACGGUGAGGGAUGAAAGCUGGGGGAGCAAACCGGAUUAGAUACCCGAGUAGUCC